CUACGGACUUAACUGAAUUGAGCCUUGGUAUGGAGACCUGCCAAGUAAUAGCUUCAAAAUCUAGGGAACCCUGGGAUAUUUUGAAUGGGUAAUCCUGAGCCAAAUCUGGUUCACUGAGAUAAUAGUUUCUUCUCCCAAGAUAGGAAGGGGAUAGGUGUAGAGACUCAGUGGAAGUUAUUCUAAUGAAUGAAUCUAAUUUGGUCUAAUAAUGUAUUUAUAGAAUUCUCUAUUUAUACCUCAAAG
rnacentral:ncRNA from 1 species